rnacentral:lncRNA from 1 species
GUCUAGUAACAGUGUGUGGUACUGUAAUGAUUUGUUUUCUGUUUUCCAGCUUUAACAGAGAAAAGUUGGAAUGACUUGAGAGAAAGGACAAAGGAAAUGAUAAUACAUUGAAGCCAGUUUUGAAGAGAUUCAAUUUACAUUGACCACUUUAGAGAUUUUUGUAAUUUGUAUUGUGAGGAGGAGUCGGUUUCUGUGACAGUCUCGUCCUACAUCUCCACGGUCUCUGCUCCUGUCUGUCUGCCUACUGGACACUUAAUUCAGAGGGAUCCGAUGAAUAUGUGAUUCAUGGAAACAUCAAGGAGAAAUGGAAAGGAUAAUCUAGUAUUUCACAUUGCCAUGUGACUUGUCACAGAGAAUACUGUCACUGGAAAAUCCUGACAGAAAAGGAGGCUUUUCAAGCAUGGCAAAGGGAUAGAGCUGCUCUUACCAGGCAGACACUGGAUACUGUAGUUGCAGUCACUGGAGCUGUGGGAUUUUUCCUCGAGCACCACACACUGUAUGGUUACAAGUCCCUGCAGAGUCUGUUAGGGAGCAUCCAUUUAUCUGCAAAUACAUGCUGUAAACUGGUAAGUUUGACUUUCCAAAAUUAAGGGGAGGCAAGUUUUCCAGAGGCUUGAUCUGGU